GUGCAGCAGUCGCGAAAACUUCGCAAUACGCGCAAGCGUGACGAGGGAACCCCAAGUACUCCUGCUUUUUGCAGGAGUUUUUGCCAAGUGUAAACAGCUUGGAGAAUAAGGGCGGGGUAAGGCCGGUGCCAGCCGCCGCGGUAAUACCGGCCGCCCGAGUAGUGACCACUAUUAUUGGGCCUAAAGCGUCCGUAGCCGGUUUUGUAAGUUUCUGGGUAAAUCCCACAGCUUAACAGCGGGAAUUCCAGAAAUACUGCAGAGCUAGGGGCCGGGAGACGCAGAAGGUACUCCUGGGGUAGGGGUGAAAUCUUCUGAUCCAUGGAAGACCACCAGUGGCGAAGGCGGUCCACCAGAACGCGCUCGACGGUGAGGGAUGAAAGCUGGGGGAGCGAACCGGAUUAGAUACCCGGGUAGUCC
rnacentral:rRNA from 1 species